AAUUACAUACUUGGAUAAAUCAUUACUCUGACUAGUUUUUUGAACUAUAAAAUGUUUUGGAGAGACCUAACAUUUCUAAGGUCACUUUCUCUUCUAAAUAUUUAGGGCUCUAUUACUUAAUUCAUCAAAGUUCUGGCUUGCCAAAGUUUAAUUAUAGUAAGACCAGUUUUGCAAGUAAAUGCUCCCUUUAGAGUAAUGAAUUUGGAUUAUAUAAAUAUUAUGUACAGGACAUGUUUAUGUUAAGAAAGUUAAAUUUCCAACUUAUUUCUUAAAACCUCUUAAUUUACAAUAGAAAAAGUACUUAUAUUUUCCAAAAAAAUUAUAACAUAUGAUUAUUAUUAUAAAUGAUUCAAACUCUCUUAACAUGAAAACACUACUGUAUUUUCUCUUUGCUUUGGUAUGUUAAAAGAAUGGAAUAAAAAUUUUUUCUCACUUCUACAGAAAUUUUUAAUAUUAAAUUUUCCCUUUUCCUCAAAGAAAGAAGGACUGGUUUUAGGUUUCGGAUGUUUCCAAAUUUGGAUUUAAUAGAUCAUACAUAGGAUGCCUGGGUAACUCAGUGGUUGAGUGUCUGCCUUUGCCUCAGGGUCUUAUCCUGGGGUCCUGACAUUGAAUCUCGUGUGGGGCCCUCCAUAGGAAACCUGUUUCUCCCUCUGCCUGUCUCUGUGUGUCUCUCAUCAAUCAAUAAAUAAAAUCUUAAAAAAAAAUAAUAUGCCAUACAUGUCUCUUGUCAAACAAGAAGAAAAUAUAUUUUAAGAAAAGAUAAAAUAUAGGAUUCUCCUUAGAGAAACAAUAAAAGAGGAAUACUUUCCCCUGUAAAAAAGCAGUUCAGAUAAUUGAGAAGAGAGCUGCCUAACCAAGGAGUUGAUUGUGGUGAAGUUCCACAGGACUCAGCCUGGAAAGAGUUGAGUAAACAGACCAAAUAGCCAUUUUAAAGAGCUUUGUGGGACAGCCCUGAAGCCCUGCUGGAAUGGAAAUGUUGCCCUAACACUUCUCAGUCUUUACUUUAGAGAGAACUUUUCAUUGUCUUAGUCCAGAAGAUUAUUAUUAUCUUCAAAUAGUCAUUAUCAAGACCCACUGAAUAAAAAACUACUAAUUAUAGCAUAUUUCCCAAAUAACUUUACUAAUACAUUCACUCAGAUUGAAUGCACUUUAAAUGUACAAAUUAAAUCAGGACAUCUGGAACUUUCAAGAUUAUUGCCUAGGGAUCAUGUAUAAUAGCUAUUUAUUCAGCACAUUAUUACUUUUUCAAGGAACAAUUAAGCUCAUGAUCUUAUUUACUCUCCAUAAUAAAAACUGACAGUGAAGUACAAUUGAAAAAUUCUGGCCCAGGACUCAGAGAUCUAAGACCUAAUUUGGCUCUGUUUCCAAAGUCACUUAAUUUCACUGUAAAAAGUCACUUAAUUUCAAUAUGCAUCACUAAAUUCUGCUUUUUUCGGUAACAAAACACCAUUUUUUCAAUCUAUUAAGAGUUUAUGUUGUUCAGAUGAGACAAGUGCCUCCACUGGCAUAGGAGUUGAAGCCAUUGCCUGAAUGUCAGUGAUUUAUUCAUUAAUGGACAUAGAGACCAAUUAUGAGACAGCAACACUAAUUCCUGGGACUUUUGUUAGAAAAGAGACUUUCGGGGUACCUGGGUGGCUCAGUGGUUGAGUGUCUGCCUUUGGCUUAGGGUGUGA
rnacentral:lncRNA from 1 species